rnacentral:lncRNA from 1 species
AGAAGCAGAAGAAAAAAAACAGAUCAACCCUAAAAUUAUUUUUGUGCUGGUAUUUUUUACCGUAUGGUAUAAAGCUCUUAGAGUAUGACUAUGUUACUGGAGCUUUUGAACUACGUAUGCUCUUUUACUUACUUCAUGGACAUUUAUUCAAACAUAAUUUACAAUUAUCAAAAUAACGCGUGAAGAGCGUUGAAAAAUUGUAACAGAGACAUGUUAUUUAUAGUUUUAUGCUAUUUAAAAACAAGAUCAAGUCUUCUGCUCAAAGAAAUUAACAGAAUUCUGCUCAAAGAAAUUGUAACUAUCGAACAUACCGACAAAUCCGGGAAUUUUCCCGAGUGAAUCUCUAUACGGGAUUUCGACUAUCUCCUUCUCCGUGCAAAGACGAGAGGAG